rnacentral:rRNA from 1 species
GAUGAACGCUGGCGGCGUGCCUAAUACAUGCAAGUCGAGCGAACAGACGAGGAGCUUGCUCCUCUGACGUUAGCGGCGGACGGGUGAGUAACACGUGGAUAACCUACCUAUAAGACUGGGAUAACUUCGGGAAACCGGAGCUAAUACCGGAUAAUAUAUUGAACCGCAUGGUUCAAUAGUGAAAGACGGUUUUGCUGUCACUUAUAGAUGGAUCCGCGCCGCAUUAGCUAGUUGGUAAGGUAACGGCUUACCAAGGCAACGAUGCGUAGCCGACCUGAGAGGGUGAUCGGCCACACUGGAACUGAGACACGGUCCAGACUCCUACGGGAGGCAGCAGUAGGGAAUCUUCCGCAAUGGGCGAAAGCCUGACGGAGCAACGCCGCGUGAGUGAUGAAGGUCUUCGGAUCGUAAAACUCUGUUAUUAGGGAAGAACAAAUGUGUAAGUAACUAUGCACGUCUUGACGGUACCUAAUCAGAAAGCCACGGCUAACUACGUGCCAGCAGCCGCCGUAAGAC